CGCCUCGCGGGGCAACGGGCGACUCACCGGGAUGCCGAAGCGCGUCCGGUACAAGGUCCUCAUGGCGACGCUCGCUCCGCACAGGCAGCAUUCGUUCAUGUCGGAGGCGAUCUGGCACGAAAGGCACAGGGGACAGAAAGCCCCACAGAGGCCUGGGUGCGGGGGGAGGGCACACAGAAGAGUGAGUGUAAGUCAUCAUACUCUCAACGAAAUCACACCCCUUUCAGACAAGGUGCUGGCUCAGAAAGUGGCCUUAAUGGGCACUCGGAGAAGACAACGUCAUCCUCUGGCUCCUUGGGCCUUGCUUCUAGAGCCAUCUGUCCAGGAAUUGGGGAUACCUCGUGAGUCACUACACCAGGUCAGAUUUAAUCGCAGAAGCUCAUGCCUUGCUAAUCUCAGCGUGUUCGCAUUAUCUUUCCUCCCUGCGCUUGUGACAUUCGGGUCAUGCUUGCAGAGGAAGUUUGUGGCGUCAGGAUGUCUGAGAAGCCCUCUAAAAACUGGGAGGGCAUUGAGGGUCAGGAAACACCGAGUGAAGAAAUCAUCAGGGACAAAGAGAGGAAAUAGAUCCUAGAUGGUCAUUCGGGCAAAAGGACUCUAUCAUCAUCAUGAGGAUGGAAGCAAGCAGAAAUUAAGGGACGUUGGUAUCAGUUGUUUAAAAAGUUGAGUGCAAUUUCACUUUACAGAGUUUCUGUAGGAAAGAGGGCCUAAGAAAAUGACAACAAACAGGAAACUGUUCUCAAAUAUGCUCGGAGUAAAAGUCUAUUUUGCAAAGUGCUGGGGUGGAGUUCUGGUAUGGCUGUACCCUAGAUAAGAGAGUCUGUGGUUUUUUAACUGAUUGUUUUUAAGCAGAAGGGAUCUCCGAAGAAACUGCAACUUCCAUCAUACACAAAAAAAGGAGGCUGUUUCUCGCACACAAUGUCAAGAUGAGCCCCCACAGAGAACGUCUGUAACCCAUAUGGCAUGAGACUCUGAAAUAAGAAAAAAUUUCUCACGCAAAAGUGUGUUUUGUAGUUUGAAGUGAGUAAAGCUAAAAGCCUGCAGUGCUUCCUGAGAUGGAACAGUGAGAAGAGUUGCAAGAAUGUCACUGACAGCUGGAAAACACAGAACAGCAUUGUCAGAAAAGGUAGAGGAGGACUAUGACAUCUUUUCUACUACCAUCUUAUCAGAGUGGGCACAUGCUGUGAGCUCAAUGUACUAUCUGAAAAAUAGUCACAAAAUUUGAAUAAAUUGCACAGUCUCUUCAGGAAGAAGACAUGAAGACACCUCACAGGAAACAUUAUAGAAACCCAAAGAUGAGAAGGUGGACCAGUCAGCACGAUCCAGUGGUUUCCAUCAUUGAUGAUGGCCACAGACUCCAGCUUUCCAAUCAUUAGCUAAUGACCUUGUCCCUCAGUGUCUUCAUCUGUGAAGUGCACAGUUUUUCUGAGGGUGUAAGUGGGUUUCAGUCAUCUGGGUCCCCCAAAGAUAGUGACUUGCACAUAGCCUAGAAAAUACUAAGGUUUGAACAGAAGAGCUGAAUGCCUCACAUCCCUCAGACUGCUUUCUGUUCCCCCAGGAGUAUGUUGCUUGGCGCACUGCAGUCCCUCCAGAAAUAUUGAGUGAAUGCAGGAGAAAGGUAAGAGAGCAAAGACAGCUGGAAGGAUAGAGUCCAAGAACGCAGAAGAAAAAGAGAAAACCACACCUGGAGACGAUGCAGUACAAAGUUUCUAUAAAGGAAGCCAGGGCAAUGAUGCCGGAUGCUUUAAGAAGCAAAAAUGAGUGAGGGAUUACUUGUCUUAUUUUCCACCACAAAGUUCUUUUAUAAUCCCAACGCUAAAAUGUUGACCACUUCACUGAUUUUGGCUGAUGUCCAUGGAGUAUCUACAAAGUACUUUCAAGCUCGUAAUCACAUUUGGUACUUAGAAAUGCCCUAGAGGAUAGUAUUUUUAUCAUCCUUAUAAUGAUAGAGAUAGAUGGAGAAAUAAAGGCUCAGAAAGGCUGGGUAACUCUUCCAGAGUCGCAAAGCUGAGAAAGUCAAGGGUUCGGAUCAAAUGUGGUGCUCUUUCAGAUGUUCCCACAUAUGUUGACUGCAGCUGUAGAAGGUUGUCAGCGGCCUGGUCAUCAAGACACAUAUUUAUCAAGCACUUCCUGAGCUAGGAGGCAUCCAGUAUACUGUAGUGAAUGUGAUCCAAGACAGCCAGUCCUCUCCUGAGCUGACUCUGGGGCGGGGAGUCAGAAGAUCACAAGCCACCACACACGCUAGGAGCAAACAGGUGCUUUGCUAGAAUAAUACACAGGAACUUCACGUCAGCUGCGGCGAGGGUGGGGGAGUGGAAGGCGUCACACACUUUAUUUUCCUCUGAAAACUAGGUUUCAGGACCAUGUCCUUAGCUAUGUUGGCUGCAGCUAGACACAUUCAAGCUUGUUUUGUUCUGCAGGAGGGUUCAGUUACCGCACAGGUGGGUUCAGUAGAAUUGCGGGUAGAAAGUCGGAUCCCCACCCAGACCAGCUGAAACUGGUGUCAGUGUCUUCACAGUCUGGGAAACACACACUGUGAAGUGUGUCUGUUUGAAUACACUCAGGGUGAGGGUGAAGCAAAAAUUAGAA